GUGGAUUAGAUACCCUGGUAGUCCACGCUGUAAACGAUGAUCACUCGAUGUUGGCGAUACACAGUCAGCGUCUUAGCGAAAGUAUUAAGUGAUCCACCUGGGGAGUACGGUCGCAAGAUUGAAACUCAAAGGAAUUGACGGGGGCCCGCACAAGCGGAGGAGCAUGUGGUUUAAUUCGAUGAUACGCGAGGAACCUUACCUGGGCUCGAACGUGGAAUGACAGUCGCGGAAACGUGAUCUUCCUUCGGGACAUUCUACGAGGUGCUGCAUGGCCGUCGUCAGCU
rnacentral:rRNA from 1 species